CCAGAUUGUAGUCAUCCUAUACGUGCGCAUGCCUGGCUUCCUGGGUACCUGCUUGCAGCUGAUCACCGGCACACCUGCAUUCCAUUAUUCAUCAGUCUCCACCGUUCAUAUACCAGGCACCUCCACACCACCGACGCCAGAUCGUCCUCGUACAUGAGUGCGCCACGGCCUAUAGUAAGUUACGAGUAAAAGUAUUUUCUUCUUGCAUGUCGGUAAUUCUGAUCUCCCUCUGCUUCAGACACGUCGCUGCCGGUGAUCACCGCUCCAGACCACUCUACACAUUCGGCUUCACCAGUCCACCGCCUGGUUAGUCCAGCUACCACCUCUACACUCGUCAGUCCAGAGCCGGCAACCUCGUCUCCAUUCGGAGCGCCGCAAGUUUUCGUCCCCGGCCCGGUCGAGUUCCCGAGGCGGCCAUCAACUACGCCGAACUUAUCACUACCCACCUACUUUCUGAUCAAUAAAUAAUGUGGUCAACUUAC